UGCGUAGGUGGGCAGGUAAGUCAGUGGUGAAAUCUCCGAGCUUAACUCGGAAACUGCCAUUGAUACUAUCUGUCUUGAAUAUCCUGGAGGUGAGCGGAAUAUGUCAUGUAGCGGUGAAAUGCUUAGAUAUGACAUAGAACACCAAUUGCGAAGGCAGCUCACUACGGGGUUAUUGACACUGAGGCACGAAAGCGUGGGGAUCAAACA
rnacentral:rRNA from 1 species